AUGCUCACUUUGGCAGCACAUACAUUAAAAUUGGAAUGAUAUGGAGAAGAUAUGCAUGGCCCCUGCACAAGGAUGACAAGUGAAUUUGUGCAGCAUUCCAUAUUUUU
rnacentral:snRNA from 1 species